rnacentral:lncRNA from 1 species
CAAUAAACCGCGUACUAUAUACAAACAGUGCGCGACAGAAACAAUUAUGCAUUGCAAAAAAAAGAAAGUAAACAGUUCUCUCGGUUUUAUGAGCUUUAUGGAAUAAUUGGAAGGACUUUGAUCUAUCAAAAUGGAAAGAAAUGGUGGUGUGACAAGUACAUGCCAAGAUGUUCUGCAAACAUAUAACAGUGAUGGCGACAAUAGAAUUAUCGAGAGUAAAGCAGCACUGUUGUGAAGUGAUGAUGAAAUUUGUACAAGCCAAGAUGUUCAAGUUCUACUACAGUGAAACAAAGACAGACUUAUUCAACCAUUCAAAAUAAUAGACUCUUAAUGAUUUGUUCCAUACUUGCAUGUUUUGAUUUUUAUGAUUAUAUUUGCCCGUAGAAGAGGCACUAUUUCGCUUGAUGAGUUUGUUACCAUUUUGUAACAGCAGUCACAACAGAAAAGCACA